rnacentral:rRNA from 1 species
AUUGAACGCUGGCGGAAUGCUUUACACAUGCAAGUCGAGCGGCAGCGCGGCCUUCGGGCUGGCGGCGAGCGGCGAACGGGUGUGUAAUGCAUCGGAACAUGCCCAGUCGUGGGGGAUAACACUUCGAAAGAAGUGCUAAUACCGCAUACGUCCUGAGGGGGAAAGCGGGGGAUCGCAAGACCUCGCGCGAUUGGAGUGGCCGAUGUCAGAUUAGCUAGUUGGUGGGGUAAAGGCCUACCAAGGCGACGAUCUGUAGCUGGUCUGAGAGGAUGAUCAGCCACACUGGGACUGAGACACGGCCCAGACUCCUACGGGAGGCAGCAGUGGGGAAUUUUGGACAAUGGGGGCAACCCUGAUCCAGCCAUUCCGCGUGAGUGAAGAAGGCCUUCGGGUUGUAAAGCUCUUUCGGCAGGAACGAAACGGUGGGCUCUAACAUAGUCCGCUAAUGACGGUACCUGAAGAAGAAGCACCGGCUAACUACGUG